GACGGGUGAGUAACACGUGAGAAUUUACCUUUAGGAGGGGGAUAACAAUUGGAAACGAAUGCUAAUACCCCAUAUGCUUUUGAGUGAAAUGGAUUUAUCCGCCUAAAGAGAAGCUCGCGGCUGAUUAGCUUGUUGGUAAGGUAAGAGCUUACCAAGGCGACGAUCAGUAUCUGGUUUGAGAGGACGAUCAGACACACUGGAACUGAGACACGGUCC
rnacentral:rRNA from 1 species